rnacentral:rRNA from 1 species
GAUGAACGCUGGCGGCGUGCCUAAUACAUGCAAGUCGAGCGAACGGACGAGAAGCUUGCUUCUCUGAUGUUAGCGGCGGACGGGUGAGUAACACGUGGAUAACCUACCUAUAAGACUGGGAUAACUUCGGGAAACCGGAGCUAAUACCGGAUAAUAUUUUGAACCGCAUGGUUCAAAAGUGAAAGACGGUCUUGCUGUCACUUAUAGAUGGAUCCGCUCUGCAUUAGCUAGUUGGUAAGGUAACGGCUUACCAAGGCAACGAUGCAUAGCCGACCUGAGAGGGUGAUCGGCCACACUGGAACUGAGACACGGUCCAGACUCCUACGGGAGGCAGCAGUAGGGAAUCUUCCGCAAUGGGCGAAAGCCUGACGGAGCAACGCCGCGUGAGUGAUGAAGGUCUUCGGAUCGUAAAACUCUGUUAUUAGGGAAGAACAUAUGUGUAAGUAACUGUGCACAUCUUGACGGUACCUAAUCAGAAAGACACGGCUAACUACGUG